UGGGUGUUAGGUCUCAACUCGGCAUUCUAC
rnacentral:piRNA from 1 species